rnacentral:rRNA from 1 species
GACGAACGCUGGCGGCGUGCUUAACACAUGCAAGUCGAGCGGAGCGGCGAACGGGUGAGUAACGCGUGAGUAACUGCCCCCCUCUCUGGGAUCACAGUUGGAAACGGCUGCUAAUACCGGAUAGUGGGGGAUGACUCGCGUCCUAUCAGCUUGUUGGUGGGGUAGUGGCCUACCAAGGCGACGACGGGUAGCCGGCCUGAGAGGGCGACCGGCCUCAUUGGGCUGAGAGACGGCCCAAACUCGUACGGGAGGAAGAAGGGGGGAAUAUUGCACAAUGGGGGAAACCCUGAUGCAGAAACGCCGCGUGCGGGAUAGCGGCCUAAGGGUUGUAAACCGCUUUCAGCCAUAACGCGGUAGUGGCAGAAGAAGCACCGGCUAACUACGGGCCAGCAGCCGCGGUAAUUC